GACGAACGCUGGCGGCGUGCUUAACACAUGCAAGUCGAACGGUAAGGCUCCAGCUUGCUGGGGUACACGAGUGGCGAACGGGUGAGUAACACGUGGGUGACCUGCCCUGCACUUCGGGAUAAGCCUGGGAAACUGGGUCUAAUACCGGAUAGGACCAUGGUGUGGAUACUGUGGUGGAAAGUUUUUUCGGUGUGGGAUGGGCCCGCGGCCUAUCAGCUUGUUGGUGGGGUAAUGGCCUACCAAGGCGGCGACGGGUAGCCGGCCUGAGAGGGUGGACGGCCACAUUGGGACUGAGACACGGCCCAGACUCCUACGGGAGGCAGCAGUGGGGAAUAUUGCACAAUGGGCGGAAGCCUGAUGCAGCGACGCCGCGUGGGGGAUGACGGCCUUCGGGCUGUAAACUCCUUUCACCAUCGACGGAGGGUUUCUGACGGUAGAUGGAGAAGAAGCACCGGCUAACUACGUG
rnacentral:rRNA from 1 species